UGAUAAUGGGUCUUCAAGGUGAGAUCUCAUGGAGUUUCAUCUUUACAUAACAGUUGUGGGGCUCAACUGCUCACACGACCGCCAAUAUGGAAGUCGAUAAAUCUAACUCCAUCGACAAGCUAGAUGAAUGGCUCACUCAAAAUCGUGACUCGAACCCAGAAGUUAUUAUCUGUGGGGACUUGAACGCCAGAGUUGGUAGUGGUAACAGCCCACCAGAGACAUUUGAUACUGAACGACUUGGACAGUGCCUUCCCGGAUGAAGAUCCUGUGCUACUUGGCCAGAGACACUCAUGCGAUAAUGUUAUAAACACGUUUGGUCGAAA